CCGUAGGUGAACCUGCGGAAGGAUCAUUAACGAAUGCUGUACACGCAAAGACAAUGAACGCUUUGUCACAGGCUUCGUGACUCUUGAAAAAAGAAGAAAAAAAAACUCCUGACGGGUUCAGGAAGGAAGACGCCUGUCGGCCAUCGUGGUCGUUGUGCGCUCUCGAGAGCGAGCGCCGCGAACGAUGUAAAACAAACAACCUCUGGCCUCUCAUACAGUACGAUAUCUCUCGCCAUGGUAUACAGGCCUGGCAACUGGUACGAGUCUCGCACGACUCAAAACCAACCUUACAACUCUGAGCGGKGGAUCACUUGGCUUGUGGAUGCUAUGAAGACCAUAGCUAAGUGUGAGAAWGGCAGCGAGCCGUCGCKAUAUGCGCUGUCCUCUUCUUAUCACAUGUCGAAUGCACAUUGCGCCCCACCCAGCGGUCGGCUAACCUCCUGCAGACAAAAGCCUGCUAGUUGGAACAAAGGCAAGUGUGUGGCCCUCGAGCAACGGCGGGGGAGCCAGGAGCACAUGAGCGUGCGGACCAACUGCUCGUUAGUAGUCAGGCUGACCCUAUGGUGGGGCACUCYUAGUCGAGUGUGGUGGAUCGGGCUCACCACACAUCCUCUCGCGCGAUAGUUACGUGCUUUGAACUGUGUGUGUGUGUGAGUUUCUUUGUUGCUGGUGGCAUUUGGGUCGACAUCAGUCGUGCCCGCAAACAACUGCCUUGGCUCGUGCCUCUGUGCGUGAACCACCUACAAGUCCCCGGCGGUGGUGCGCGCACAUUGAAGGCCAUAGCUGGCGAUCACUCUUGCGGCCAGGGCACUAAGACAAUUGCCAACUUUGUUGUGGCAGUAGUGCGCACGGGUCCAAAAGGAUUUUGAAUCAUACGGGAGUCGAGUCUCUGAUACUCUCAGUGGGCCAGCCUGAUACGGCUAAUGCGGAGUGGUGCUUUUUCCGUUGAAGACUCAAAAAACACGCGUGUACACAUACGCUUAUCUCUGGUAGAGGUUCGUGUCUCUCGUAGUAUUCGAGAAAGACAAACGCUUCACCUUUUUCACACUCACCGGGUUGUUGAUGAGUAAACGCCUGACGAGAUCAGGACGGAUUUUUUCUAAGAGUGUGAAAAAAAGAAGCAGAAAGGAUGACACAGCAUGAUGCACCGUACCACUCUGCUCUCGCCGAGCUGGCGCCACAUCGUAGAGAGACUCGCGCUCGUGUGUGACUCUAAGUGCCACCACCUCGACUUAGGAGAGGUUACCCGCUGAACUUAAGCAUAUCAGUAAGCGGAGGAAAAGAAACCAAUCAGGGAUUCCCUUAGUAGGGGCGACCGAACAGGGAUGAGCCCAGCGCAGAACCUCCCGGGCCACCCGGCCUGCGGCGGAAUGUUGCGUUAAGGGAAAGGUCGUAGUCAAACCCCACAGCCACGCGAGCUCUAAGUAAGUCACGAAUUGGCUAUCCCAACUAACGGCGGGAAAAUCUCCACGGAGGGUGUAAGACCCGUGUGGGCGCGUGCAAAUGCUGUGUGGGCUCGGCCUCUUUUCCCUGAGAGUCGCGUUGCUUGAGCAUGCAGCGCUAAGCAGGUCGUAAACUCGAUCUAAGGCUAAAUAUGUCCACAAGACCGAUAGCGAACAAGUACCGUGAGGGAAAGUUGAAAAGCACUCUGAAGAGAGAGUCAAAAGACCGUGAAACCGCUCAGAG
rnacentral:rRNA from 1 species